UACGUAGGGUGCGAGCGUUGUCCGGAAUUAUUGGGCGUAAAGAGCUCGUAGGCGGCUUGUCGCGUCGGAUGUGAAAGCCCGGGGCUUAACUCCGGGUCUGCAUUCGAUACGGGCAGGCUAGAGUUCGGUAGGGGAGAUCGGAAUUCCUGGUGUAGCGGUGAAACGCGCAGAUAUCAGGAGGAACACCGGUGGCGAAGGCGGAUCUCUGGGCCGAUACUGACGCUGAGGAGCGAAAGCGUGGGGAGCGAACAGG
rnacentral:rRNA from 1 species